UACGUAGGGGGCUAGCGUUGUCCGGAAUCAUUGGGCGUAAAGCGCGUGUAGGCGGAUUGCUAAGUCAGGGGUGAAAUCCUGGAGCUCAACUCCAGAACUGCCUUUGAUACUGGCGAUCUUGAGUCCGGGAGAGGUGAGUGGAACUGCGAGUGUAGAGGUGAAAUUCGUAGAUAUUCGCAAGAACACCAGUGGCGAAGGCGGCUCACUGGCCCGGUACUGACGCUGAGGUGCGAAAGCGUGGGGAGCAAACAGG
rnacentral:rRNA from 1 species